rnacentral:rRNA from 1 species
GGGUUGUGAGGUUAAGCGACUAAGCGUACACGGUGGAUGCCCUGGCAGUCAGAGGCGAUGAAGGACGUGCUAAUCUGCGAUAAGCGCCGGUAAGGUGAUAUGAACCGUUAUAACCGGCGAUUUCCGAAUGGGGAAACCCAGUGUGAUUCGUCACACUAUCAUUAACUGAAUCCAUAGGUUAAUGAGGCGAACCGGGGGAACUGAAACAUCUAAGUACCCCGAGGAAAAGAAAUCAACCGAGAUUCCCCCAGUAGCGGCGAGCGAACGGGGAGGAGCCCAGAGCCUGAAUCAGCAUGUGUGUUAGUGGAAGCGUCUGGAAAGGCGCGCGAUACAGGGUGACAGCCCCGUACACAAAAGCGCAUGUGCUGUGAGCUCGAUGAGUAGGGCGGGACACGUGGUAUCCUGUCUGAAUAUGGGGGGACCAUCCUCCAAGGCUAAAUACUCCUGACUGACCGAUAGUGAACCAGUACCGUGAGGGAAAGGCGAAAAGAACCCCGGCGAGGGGAGUGAAAAAGAACCUGAAACCGUGUACGUACAAGCAGUGGGAGCCCCACCACCAAAGCAUUUGCUGUACCGCGUUGACGGAGCGAAGCGACGUCAAACCGAUAAAACAGCAGUGUAAAGUGAGCCGCAGGGCGCUUUGCGCGACAGCGCAAAGGCAGGCGGUUUCGCGUAGCGAAAGCGAAUGCUUUGGGGUGGGGUGACUGCGUACCUUUUGUAUAAUGGGUCAGCGACUUAUAUUCUGUAGCAAGGUUAACCGAAUAGGGGAGCCGGAGGGAAACCGAGUCUUAAUUGGGCGUUAAGUUGCAGGGUAUAGACCCGAAACCCGGUGAUCUAGCCAUGGGCAGGUUGAAGGUUGGGUAACACUAACUGGAGGACCGAACCGACUAAUGUUGAAAAAUUAGCGGAUGACCUGUGGCUGGGGGUGAAAGGCCAAUCAAACCGGGAGAUAGCUGGUUCUCCCCGAAAGCUAUUUAGGUAGCGCCUCGUGAAUUCAUCUCCGGGGGUAGAGCACUGUUUCGGCUAGGGGGCCAUCCCGGCUUACCAACCCGAUGCAAACUGCGAAUACCGGAGAAUGUUAUCACGGGAGACACACGGCGGGUGCUAACGUCCGUCGUGAAGAGGGAAACAACCCAGACCGCCAGCUAAGGUCCCAAAGUCAUGGUUAAGUGGGAAACGAUGUGGGAAGGCCCAGACAGCCAGGAUGUUGGCUUAGAAGCAGCCAUCAUUUAAAGAAAGCGUAAUAGCUCACUGGUCGAGUCGGCCUGCGCGGAAGAUGUAACGGGGCUAAACCAU